ACCGAAAUAGCUCAGUUGGGAUAGCGUUAGACUGAAGAUCUAAAGGUCCCUAGUUCGAUCCCGAAUUUCGGUA
rnacentral:tRNA from 1 species